AGGACGAACGCUGGCGGCGCGCUUAACACAUGCAAGUCGAGCGAGAACCAGGGCUUCGGCUCUGGGGACAGCGGCGAACGGGUGAGUAACACGUGAGUAAUCUGCCCUCGACACUGGGAUAGCCCGGGGAAAACCCGGAUUAAUACCGGAUAGCCUUUCGAGCUCGUCGGGCUCGUCAAGAAAAGGAUGGCUUCGGCUUUCGGUUGAGGAUGAGCUUGCGGCGGAUUAGCUUGUGGUGAGGUAACGGCUCACCAAGGCGACAAUCCGUAGCUGGUCUGAGAGGACGAUCAGCCACACUGGGACUGAGACACGGCCCAGACUCGACGGGAGCAGCAGUGGGAAUCUUGCGCAAUGAGACGAAAGCGUUGACGCAGCGACGCCGCGUGAGGAAGAACGGCCGUUCGGUUAGUAAACCGUUCGUUUACGAGGAGGACGAAGGCCGCG
rnacentral:rRNA from 1 species